rnacentral:sRNA from 1 species
CACGGCUAGAGUGGCUGCUGGGACCAUGAAUUACAUAAACAUUUGAUUUGGUUUGUGUAAUGGGUUAGCAUCUGUUAGUAGUUAACUUACACAAUCAACUCCUCUUCUGCAUCUGCUUGUCCUUGUCAUCAUGAUCCCGCUCUGCAUUUGUAUAGUUUCUAACAAUUCCUUUACAUAACUUAUAAUGUUCUUUCACUCUGUCUCUCACUGUGAUAUAGCUUCUGAUACUCUUCUUUUUCAAUCUCUUUUCUAUAAGAACUUUUUUUCAUACAAUCUUUUCUUUCUAUCUUUUUUCUCUUUCUGUGAUACAUUUAUUUAUUAUUUCCUUUAGAUUCUCUUUGUUUAUUCUUAUCUUUUUCCAUUAUAUUCUUGCUAUCACAGUUUUUAUACAUGUAUAUAUAUGGUUAUAUGUAUUCUGCAC